rnacentral:rRNA from 1 species
CCUACGGGUGGCAGCAGUGAGGAAUAUUGGUCAAUGGCCGCGAGGCUGAACCAGCCAAGUAGCGUGAAGGAUGACUGCCCUACGCAUUGUAAACUUCUUUUAUAAAGGAAUAAAGUGAGGCACGUGUGCCUUUUUGUAUGUACUUUAUGAAUAAGGAUCGGCUAACUCCGUGCCAGCAGCCGCGGUAAUACGGAGGAUGCGAGCGUUAUCCGGAUUUAUUGGGUUUAAAGGGUGCGUAGGCGGACUAUUAAGUCAGCGGUAAAAAUUCGGGGCUCAACCCCGUCGGGCCGUUGAAACUGGUGUUCUUGAGUGGUCGAGAAGUAUGCGGAAUGCGCGGUGUAGCGGUGAAAUGCAUAGAUAUAACGCAGAACUCCGAUUGCGAAGGCAGCAUACCGGCGCCCAACUGACGCUGAAGCACGAAAGCGUGGGUAUCGAACAGGAUUAGAUACCCUGGUAGUC